GUAACUCACCAGACCAGGCCGCCGCACCCUAAACGGCGGCACCACUUCGACGAAGAAGGA
rnacentral:ncRNA from 1 species